AACAACGAAAAAACAUGAAUCGAUUUAUCAAAAUCGUGGAAAACAAAACAAUCGACUUUCUGAUCGGUUUCCAAAUAAAAUUGAUCACUCGUCGUCGUCUUCUUCUUGCUGAGAUUUGUCCUUCUUGGUUUCACGGAACAUAUUGUAUCAGUGGGAUAGGUAUUACAGAACAAGGCAAGUACCUACAAUUGAUGUUCGAACUCUGGAUAAAAGAACAAGGCAAGUACCUGCAAUUGAUGUUCGAACCCAGCAAAUAUUCUGGCAUCUGCACACGAGAAGCUGUGUGCAACAGAAAUGGUCCAGGGAUGUUUAAAUUUGCCCAUUAGUCGAAUAAAAAGUGCUAGCUUGGCCAGUUCUGUACUCAGAGAAAGAUGAACGUGGGUAGAAUGAACUAAAUUUCAAUGAUGGUGGAUCUCUAAAAGAACCAAAGUUUAAUAAUACUUUUCAAUCAUAUUGUUUUGUUAUACUUGUAAUAGUUCUUUGUUCAAAGUUUCUUGGUGGUUGAGUAAUAUUAAUCUUCCAGUGAUCAGAAAUUGUAAUUUCUUUACUAUGUACAGCUAAUAUUGUUGGUUCGCCUUUAUCAUCUUGUA